AUGCCUCAGCUGAGCGCGGGAUAUGUGUGGAGCUGCUGGGAGUGGAGCAGGACUCAGGGCCGAGGAGGAGAGCAUGGAGCAGUGGAGGAGAAACAGAUGAUCAGCCGAGAGCUGGAGGAGAGAGGUGGGCGAGAGUGGACAUGGAUGAGACUGCAUUGGAGAAACUGGCCGAGAUGGAGUCCGUGUCUGGCUCUGAUGUGCUUGGUUCUUCUGGAGGAGUCUCCUCUGCACCCCUCUGUCAGUCUGACUGAAGCCGCGGGUCGACUGCUCCUCGCUGGGCUGCUGUGUGCUGCCAUGGGCCUCUAUGCUCUAGCUUUCCAGUUCCCGCUCCGUUAUGAACAGAAAGUAAAGCAGCAUCUCCCAUGCAAUGGUGAAGUGAUAGUGAGACAAACUGCUGAAAACCAGCAAGCCAGCAUAAGUCCACAGCAGGACGCAGGUCAUCUUGAAUCCCAGGUCAGUGCUCUAGCGGAGGGUUUAGCGGUGUCCCUCCUGCAAGAGCCCCUGCCGGACCCCAGCGAGCCACACAUACGAGGCCUCCUCACCAGACUAGAGGCAGUGUCUCGGACUCUCCACAGGAAGAGUUAUGAGGAAGAAACCGAGGAAAAGGAGAAAUGUGCUAUUCAAGAUAUACGCUCUUACCUGAGGGACAGGGUGAGCGGUCUGCGCUCUCUGCUGCAGGUUCAGCGUGAGUGUGACGCGAGUGUGUGUGCGGUUCAGAGCGGGUUACAGAAGCGCUGGGCUCUGCUGGAGGAGUUACACACACGAGUGACUCUGAGGCCUGACAGCACCCAGGAAGCACACGACCCUCACACCGUCCUCACAGACACUGAGAGCCUGUUCAGUGAGCUCGGUCAGUUCAAAAGCAAAGUCCAACAGUGCCGAACACAGCUGGAAACCAAUAUAAACCUUUUACAGGGACUUCGCAGCAGUCAUCAGCAUCUCAACACGACUUUUGGUGCCACCACUGACUCUGUAUGGACCAAAGAGUUAUUACAGUCCAACACUGAUCUGUUUUCUGAGAUCCAUGAGGAUUUCAUGUCUUUGGAACAGCAGACGUCAAAUUUUGUGAUCCACUUGAGAGGCCUGAAGGCUUCUGAGGAGGAAAAGACAAAGUUAUCUGUGAAUCAGUCUCGACUGUCUCUUCCCGCUGUCCCUGUGUACGUUGCUGCUCAGGAAGCAUCGCAAAUACAUUCUGACCCAGAAAGUGACUCGGAGUCCCCAGGAGCCUCACAGAAGACCCACUCCAGAAUGUCGCCCUUCCAUAUGCUCUGUGGGGCGAGGAGGAGGAGGUCAUCGCCGUAGUUUUGACAAAAGUUGGAUGUUUUAACAGGACAUUUUAUUAAUGCCCGCCUGUUGAGCAGGUGUAACGGCAGUUUAUGCACUUUAUUCAGAGUUAUAAUAACUGGAACCGCUAUAUAGUGUCUAUACUGUGACUUGUGAUUUUCUACAUGUGAAAUGUGUAAAUAAGAUCUCAUGCAUAAUGAAUACAACAACAAUAAUAAUAUAUUACAUUAAAUAUAGUAUUGAUGGUUUUUAUUGAAAUGAAUAUUAGUAAUAUAUAAUAGAAUAAUAGAAAAGUUUGCUGUCAGAAGAUUUAUUUGAAAAUAAUGUAAAAACAGUAAUAUUGUAAAAUAUUACUUUUUAGAAGUAUAUUUUUUUUCAGUCACAUGAUCCUUCAGAAAUCAUUCUAACCUGCUGAUAUUGUGUUAUAAAAACACUAUCUUAUUAUUAUAUCAUCAAAAAUAAUAAUACUAGUAACUCUAGUCAAUAGUCAAUCACCUCAUAUGAUGAAAUCCUUGUAUUGUGACUGUGCUGUGACUUGUGAUGUUCUGCUUGUAAACUGUGUAAAUAAGAUCUUUCCUGAAUCUUAAUCAUCUUAAGCGCACAUUAAACGGACAAUUAACUGAAACAAACAGUAAAUACGGUAGUAGCCAUGGAGAGGUUUUUGUCUCUAUGGUCAUGCCAUGUUUGAGCACAAGAGGGCACAAUCCAAUCAAAAAUAAACAGCCAACUCCUUCACCAGAGCUAACUCACAGCUGCCAUACUUACACGAAACACUACAAGGUUUGUAGGCUACUUGUAUGUGCAUAAUAUCAUACAAACCAUUUUACGUGUAGGCCUACUGACGUGUAGAAACAUCACAUUGCCUUUAAAUUAGGAUAGUUUACAUUGAAAAACCAAUUCAACCGCUGUAAGUGCAAUCUUUGACACAUUUGUACAACUGAAAAGUAGAAAGAAAUAAUUAGGAUAAUAAGGAUGUUGUGCAUUUACACCUUUAGUAUUCUGGUUUCGACAUAGGCUACAGUGGAUUUGAACGAAUUAUACAAUAUUUUGUUCCCAUAAACAUUUAGGGUGGAUAUGCAAACUUCUUAGAGGACCAAAAGCCAUUCUCCACGGUCUGUUCUCCAUAUAUCUAUAUUUCAGCCAGAUACAGAUUUUACAGUUUUUUUUCUUCUUAGCAGUCACUCAUAGCAGUGAGGCCAAACUUUUCCACCAAAUCAUCUUUAUAGUGGGAAAAAUCUGCUCGGUUGCUGUACAGCACAGCCUGAAAGUGUAUUUCAAAAAGAGAUGAGUGUUCUUAUGAGAGCAAAGGUGCUCCUUCAUUCUCUACUAGCCUUUGUGGAUUUAGUAGGAAUUUUCAUUUGAUGUGAGGGUCUAUGUUUUUAAAAUUUGAUUUUGGAGUCUACUUCUCUCUUAUAUACACAGAAUAAAAUAAUUAUUAUUAGAUACUUAUGUUUUGUGAGGAAAACGCAAGUGGUGCUUGCCUGUAUGAAAAACCUUUGGCUUUUAUUUUAUAAAUAUUCAUAUUAUAUUAAAGUAGGCUUUUUUUGGUGUUUGUUUUUAAUGCGUUACUAUGUGGUUGUCAGUGUGUUUUGCUAAGUAUUUGCUUGUUGUCCCUGGAUACAGUAUGGCUUGAGUCCCUCAUAUGGGAUUUUGUUUUUUAUUUUUUAUCCAGCUGGCAACAACUGAUCACUUUUUUGUCAUUCCUUCAGAAUGCUGCAGGGUUUUAUGCAUCAUUCAUGUCUGUAGCACAAACAUUGUGAAACAAGUUACUCUACUGUUCAAAGGUUUUAGGGCAUUUUUUGACAGAAC
ensembl:lncRNA